AUGUUGAGGGCCGUGGCGAGGUGCUGCGGGCACUGGCCGCCGGGCGCCGCGGCGGCGGACGGCAUGCUCUGGCAGACGGAGCUGCGGCCGCACGCGGCGGGGGAGUUCUCCAUGGCCGCCGCGCAGGCCAACCUCGUCAUGGAGGACCAGGCGCAGGUGCUCGCCUCCCCCUCCGCCACGCUCGUCGGCGUCUACGACGGCCAUGGCGGCCCCGACGCCUCCCGCUUCCUCCGCUCCGCCCUCUUCCCCCACGUCCAGCGCUUCGCCAAGGAGCAGGGGGGCGUGACCGCGGAGGCGAUCCGGCGGGCGUUCGGCGCGGCGGAGGAGGACUUCCUGCACGAGGUCCGGCAGGCCUGGCCCAAGCGCCCGCGCAUGGCCGCCGUCGGCUCCUGCUGCCUGCUCGGGGCCAUCGCGGGGGACACGCUCUACGUCGCCAACCUCGGCGACUCCCGCGCCGUCCUCGGCCGCCGCGUCGUCGGCGGCGGGGUGGCCGUCGCCGAGCGCCUCUCCACCGACCACAACGUCGCCUCCGAGGAGGUCCGGAUGGAGGUCUCCUCGCACAACCCGGACGACGCGCAGAUCGUGGUGCACACCAGGGGGGCCUGGAGGAUCAAGGGGAUAAUUCAGGUGUCAAGAUCCAUUGGUGAUGUAUACUUGAAGAAACCGGAGUAUAGCCUGGACCCAUUAUUUCGGCAGAUCGGCCCUGUUAUUGCGUUGAAGAGGCCAGCUCUUAGCGCUGAACCACAAAUUCAUGUUCGCAAGCUCAAACCAAACGAUCAGUUCAUAAUAUUUGCCUCGGACGGUCUUUGGGAGCAUCUCAGCGAUGAUGCUGCUGUGCAAAUUGUCUUCAAGAACCCAAGAACGGGUAUAGCAAACCGACUAGUGCGGGCUGCCUUGAAGGAGGCCACGAAGAAGAGAGAGGUCAGUGUGCAUGACCUGAGGACGAUAGAGCGGGGCGUGCGGCGCCAUUUCCACGACGACAUCAGCGUCGUCGUGGUGUACCUCGACCGGCACCGGGGUCGCCGUCAGACCAGGGUGGUGGACUCGAGCAGCAACUGCACCAGCGCCCCCGUCGACGUCUACUCCUCCUCCAGCUCGGCUUACCGCGACUCCGGUUAG
rnacentral:rRNA from 1 species